rnacentral:misc_RNA from 1 species
AAUGCAAGAUACAAAAUACAGAAGUCAGCAAUGUUUAAGAGAUUGUCAAUUUUAAAAACAAAUAUUUAAUAAAUACAAUCCCCCAAAACAGAAAUCAUCUUUUAGUGCAAUGUAAACCUACAAAGGAUGAUCCGUGUGGAAAGCAUAUGGUAAUAUUCUAGCAUACCUUGCAACUCCUCCUACAGUAUCCAGGAAGGUCUGGAGACCCUACCAUGUACUCUGGGUUUUUGGUGCAUUCCCCAAGGGCAGCCCACCUAUCACAACCCUCAUUCAGAUCUGUGCAGUUCCCACCAGCUUCCAAGUUCUUGCUAAAUGAGUCCACAUGAAUCCACUUUGUGGCAGACCAUUUCUCACCUUCAAUCACUGGGCAUCCAGCAUGAAGACUGCUUGGGUCUGGAAUGGCGUUAGGAUGGAGACUAAAGAAAAGAAGGGCAUCACCUCUUCGUGGUUUCACUGCAAUUCCUUUCUUUGCACAUUCAGAGAGUUCUUCAUCACUUACAGUAGCUUUUCGUCGAGGAGGUUCCUCUGCAGAGGGAAACACAGUUUCUCCGCCUUUUACCACAUCAGUAAGAUACAUGAGCACAGUUGCCGAGCGAUGUCCACCACGAGCAAUAUUAACCUUGUCAACAAAGUAAUCAUAGUGUGGAUCAUAUUUUUGCCCAUGCUCAUAUCUUAAAACUUGAAUGUCUUCCCCAUUUUCUUUUGGAAGAAAGGUCCAUGUUGCAAUUUUGUCCUCUAUACCUGCAACGAUUGGAUCCUUUC